UAUGUCUGCUUCAUUGCUUAUUAACAACAUUUUCAUCAUCGCUCUUGGACAAUCUUUACCUUCUAAAUCAGAAAAUUCUUAAUAGUUUUAUCUUAUCCACGACAAUGGCAACUCGACGGCCCCACUUCUCUGAGCUAAAGGCUGGCCGCUGCAGUUAGAGUGUUAUCAUGAGGCUUCUUUGUUUCUGGGAAGCUCGAAACUUUAAGAAAGGUGGAGAGUUGCAGCCGUUGAUGUGGUACUGGUAGAUGAGAAGGUAACAACUCUUGGUCUUGAUUUCGCUUUGAUAACAUGCAUCCUUACGAAAUAAGCUGAUUACGUGUUAUGUUCAAGUGGGUUGCAGUACGCUUUCAUCCAUGCCUCAAUCAAUUUUCAUCGGCUCAUACUUUCAGAAACAUCCUGAAGGAAGGCGGGCUCUUUGACCUAAGUCUGUUUGAUGUAUCAAGGAGCAACCAAAGCUUUUGACUGUCAAAAUUCAAAUACAUAUCUACCAUUGCCUCUCAUGUUUUUCUGCGACACUUCCAGGUUCUAGCCACUCACAAUCUGUACGGACGUCACAGGAGCUUUGUUCGUUGGACGAGGAGUGCUGCUAUGUCGCAAGAUAGUGCAACUGCUGGCUCUGCUUCUGGAGCUAGACCAUUUUGCUCCCUUGAAGAGGCUUGAUGUACCGAUUACUGACUAGACAAAAUUCAAACGACAUACAAUGAAGAUACAC